AUUCUUUUGCGUCGGUGGAAUUAUCACGCCUUGUUGUGAACCAAAACAAAAGGAAUCUUUUGGAGAAUUGGUUGGCAGAGGAUAAGCUGGAAUGCAGUGAGGAACUACGGGAUCUCGUGAAGACUGGAUAAUGAUCUCGCAUUGAAAAUAUACAUUAAAGCCAGAACAACUUCAAAAGUCAUUGCUGCUUUUGCUGAACAGAGGGGAUUUGAUAAAUUUUUGAUAUAUUCAAAACAGGUUGGGUACAGUCCAGAUUAACUAUUCCUUGUAUAGACAAUCCUUC